AGCAAACAGGAUUAGAUACCCUGGUAGUCCACGCUGUAAACGAUGGACGCUAGGUGUGUGGGGGGCUCAACCCCCCUGCGUGCCGGAGCUAACGCGGUAAGCGUCCCGCCUGGGGACUACGGUCGCAAGACUAAAACUCAAAGGAAUUGACGGGUGCCCGCACAAGCAGCGGAGCGUGUGGUUCAAUUCGAGGCUACGCGAAGAACCUUACCGGGGUUUGACAUCACGCAGCUAUCCCGCGAAAUCGGGAGUUCCUUCGGGACUGCGUGACAGGUGCUGCAUGGCUGUCGUCAGCUCGUGCCGUGAGGUGUUGGGUUAAGUCCCGCAACGAGCGCAACCCUCGUCGCUAGUUGGAUUUUUCUAGCGAGACUGCCGCGGACAACGCGGAGGAAGGUGGGGAUGAUGUCAAGUCCGCAUGGCCCUUAUGCCCCGGGCUACACACACGCUACAAUGGCCAGUACAACGGGCAGCGACCUGGCGACAGGAAGCUAAUCCCUUAAAGCUGGUCUCAGUCCAGAUUGCAGGCUGCAACUCGCCUGCAUGAAGUCGGAGUUGCUAGUAACCGCAGGUCAGCACACUGCGGUGAAUACGUUCCCGGGCGUUGUACACACCGCCCGUCACGCCAUGAAAGUCGGUAACACCUGAAGCCGGUACGCCAACCGUUCGCGGAGGCAGCUGUCGAGGGUGGGACUGGCGAUUGGGGCGAAGUCGUAACAAGGUAGCCGUAGCGGAAGCUGCGGCUG
rnacentral:rRNA from 1 species